rnacentral:rRNA from 1 species
GACGGGGGAUGCAAGUGUUAUCCGGAAUCACUGGGCGUAAAGCGUCUGCAGGUGGUUUCCUAAGUCCACUGUUAAACCUUGAGGCUCAACCUCAAAUCUGCAUUGGAAACUAGGAGACUUGAGUAUAGUAGGGGUAGAGGGAAUUUCCAGUGGAGCGGUGAAAUGCGUAGAUAUUGGAAAGAACACCGAUGGCGAAGGCACUCUACUGGGCUAUUACUGACACUCAGAGACGAAAGCUAGGGGAGCAAAU